AUACGAAGGGACCUAGCGUAGUUCGGAAUUACUGGGCUUAAAGAGUUCGUAGGUGGUUGAAAAAGUUAGUGGUGAAAUCCCAGAGCUUAACUCUGGAACUGCCAUUAAAACUUUUCAGCUAGAGUAUGAUAGAGGAAAGCAGAAUUUCUAGUGUAGAGGUGAAAUUCGUAGAUAUUAGAAAGAAUACCAAUUGCGAAGGCAGCUUUCUGGAUCAUUACUGACACUGAGGAACGAAAGCAUGGGUAGCGAAGAGGAUUAGAUACCCUCGUAGUCCAUGCCGUAAACGAUGUGUGUUAGACGUUGGAAAUUUAUUUUCAGUGUCGCAGGGAAACCGAUAAACACACCGCCUGGGGAGUACGACCGCAAGGUUAAAACUCAAAUGAAUUGACGGGGGCCCGCACAAGCGGUGGAGCAUGUGGUUUAAUUCGAUGCAACGCGAAGAACCUUACCUACUCUUGACAUACUAGAAACUUUUCAGAGAUGAAUUGGUGCCUUCGGGAAUCUAGAUACAGGUGCUGCAUGGC
rnacentral:rRNA from 1 species